UUCCGAAUGAGGAAACUCACUUAGAGUAAUGUCUAAGUAUCAUUAAGUGAAUACAUAGCUUAAUGAGGGGAACUCAGGGAACUGAAACAUCUAAGUACCUGAAGGAAGAGAAAGAAAUUCGAUUCCGGAAGUAGCGGCGAGCGAACGCGGAUUAGCCCAAACCAAUAAAGUUUUCUUUAUGGGGGUUGCGGACAUAUCAUAACGAAGAGGUAUCGUAAUUGAAGAGGUUUGGAAAGACCCACCACAGAAGGUAAUAGUCCUGUAUGUUAAACGAGAAGACUUUAGAUAUGAUCCAGAGUACCACGGGACACGUGAAACCCUGUGGGAAGCAGGAGGGACCACCCUCCAAGGCUAAAUACUACCUAGUGACCGAUAGCGUAUAGUACCG
rnacentral:rRNA from 1 species